rnacentral:rRNA from 1 species
UGCAGGAUGAGCCCGCGGCCUAUCAGCUUGUUGGUGGGGUAAUGGCCUACCAAGGCGACGACGGGUAGCCGGCCUGAGAGGGCGACCGGCCACACUGGGACUGAGACACGGCCCAGACUCCUACGGGAGGCAGCAGGUGGGGAAUAUUGCACAAUGGGCGAAAGCCUGAUGCAGCGACGCCGCGUGAGGGAUGACGGCCUUCGGGUUGUAAACCUCUUUCAGCAGGGACGAAGCGAAAGUGACGGUACCUGCAGAAGAAGCACCGGCCAACUACGUG